CAGAAAGUAGUUUAAUAAAAAUUUUAAUUUUGGAGAUUAAGGAUAUAGGUUACUUUCUUUCUGA
rnacentral:tRNA from 1 species